rnacentral:rRNA from 1 species
UAACACAUGCAAGUCGAGGGGCAGCAUGGUCUUAGCUUGCUAAGACUGAUGGCGACCGGCGCAGCGGGUGAGUAACACGUAUCCAACCUGCCGUCUACUCUUGGACAGCCUUCUGAAAGGAGGAUUAAUACAAGAUGGCAUCAUGAGUCCACAUGUUCACAUGAUUAAAGGUAUUCCGGUAGACGAUGGGGAUGCGUUCCAUUAGAUAGUAGGCGGGGUAACGGCCCACCUAGUCUUCGAUGGAUAGGGGUUCUGAGAGGAAGGUCCCCCACAUUGGAACUGAGACACGGUCCAAACUCCUACGGGAGGCAGCAGUGAGGAAUAUUGGUCAAUGGGCGAGAGCCUGAACCAGCCAAGUAGCGUGAAGGAUGACUGCCCUAUGGGUUGUAAACUUCUUUUAUAAAGGAAUAAAGUCGGGUAUGCAUACCCGUUUGCAUGUACUUUAUGAAUAAGGAUCGGCUAACUCCGUGCCAGCAGCCGCGGUAAUACGGAGGAUCCGAGCGUUAUCCGGAUUUAUUGGGUUUAAAGGGAGCGUAGAUGGAUGUUUAAGUCAGUUGUGAAAGUUUGCGGCUCAACCGUAAAAUUGCAGUUGAUACUGGAUAUCUUGAGUGCAGUUGAGGCAGGCGGAAUUCGUGGUGUAGCGGUGAAAUGCUUAGCUAUCACGAAGAACUCCGAUUGCGAAGGCAGCCUGCUAAGCUGCAACUGACAUUGAGGCUCGA